rnacentral:rRNA from 1 species
AAGCAUCGGCUAACUCCGUGCUAGCAGCCGCGGUAAUACGGAGGAUCCAAGCGUUAUCCGGAAUCAUUGGGUUUAAAGGGUCCGUAGGCGGACUAUUAAGUCAGGGGUGAAAGUCUGCAGCUCAACUGUAGAAUUGCCUUUGAUACUGGUAGUCUUGAGUUAUGGUGAAGUGGCUAGAAUAUGUAGUGUAGCGGUGAAAUGCAUAGAUAUUACAUAGAAUACCGAUUGCGAAGGCAGGUCACUAACCAUACACUGACGCUGAUGGACGAAAGCGUGGGGAGCGAACAGGAUUAGAUACCCUGG